rnacentral:tRNA from 1 species
GGGGUUGUGGCUCAGUGGUAGAGCACUUGCCUAGAAUGUGCAAGGUCCUGGGUUUGAUCCUCAGCACCA